rnacentral:rRNA from 1 species
GACGAACGCUGGCGGCGUGCUUAACACAUGCAAGUCGAGCGGUAAGGCCCUUUCGGGGGUACACGAGCGGCGAACGGGUGAGUAACACGUGGGUGACCUGCCCUCAGCUCUGGGAUAAGCCUGGGAAACUGGGUCUAAUACCGGAUAUGACUCCAUGACGCAUGUUGUGGGGUGGAAAGCCUUGUGCGGCUGAGGAUGGGCCCGCGGCCUAUCAGCUUGUUGGUGGGGUGANGGCCUACCAAGGCGACGACGGGUAGCCGGCCUGAGAGGGCGACCGGCCACACUGGGACUGAGACACGGCCCAGACUCCUACGGGAGGGCAGCAGUGGGGAAUCUUGCGCAAGUGGGCGAAAGCCUGACGCAGCGACGCCGCGUGAGGGAUGACGGCCU